AACAGGAGCUGUGAUUGGCUGAUUCACAUUAAGGCUAAAUGAAGUGCAGGCUCCUCACUACUGUGGAAGGAAGGAAGAGAAACGCACGAAGCUUACGUCUGUGAAGCAUUUCACUUUGUUUCUAUCUCUUAUCGAAGCCAUGGGACAAAGUCACUGUGUGAUACUGCUUUGGCUGCUGGUGAUUGGAGAGCUUCAAGCAGAACAUGAACCUUUGCAACAUGACUUUAAAUUUGACCUGACCCAUGAGCAUCAGACUCCUGGAAACCCGGCAGCUCUGCAGUAUCAGAUUCUCCUGCCUGUUGUUAACUACCCGCUUAAUCACCCCAAGACGGCUUUUCUCAGUCC